rnacentral:rRNA from 1 species
AGCAUUAUACCGUGAAACUGCGAAUGGCUCAUUAAAUCAGUUAUCGUUUAUUUGAUAGUACCUUACUACUUGGAUAACCGUGGUAAUUCUAGAGCUAAUACAUGCUAAAAACCCCAACUUCGGGAGGGGUGUAUUUAUUAGAUAAAAAACCAACGCCCUUCGGGGCUCCUUGGUGAUUCAUAAUAACUUAACGGAUCGCAUGGCCUUGCGCCGGCGACGGUUCAUUCAAAUUUCUGCCCUAUCAACUUUCGAUUGUAGGGUAUUGGCCUACAAUGGUUUCAACGGGUAACGGGGAAUUAGGGUUCGAUUCCGGAGAGGGAGCCUGAGAAACGGCUACCACAUCCAAGGAAGGCAGCAGGCGCGCAAAUUACCCAAUCCCGACACGGGGAGGUAGUGACAAUAAAUACUGAUACAGGGCUCUUUUGGGUCUUGUAAUUGGAAUGAGUACAAUUUAAACCCCUUAACGAGGAACAAUUGGAGGGCAAGUCUGGUGCCAGCAGCCGCGGUAAUUCCAGCUCCAAUAGCGUAUAUUAAAGUUGUUGCAGUUAAAAAGCUCGUAGUUGAACCUUGGGCCUGGCUGGCCGGUCCGCCUCACCGCGUGCACUGGUCCGGCCGGGCCUUUCCUUCUGGAGAGCCGCAUGCCCUUCACUGGGUGUGUCGGGGAACCAGGACUUUUACUUUGAAAAAAUUAGAGUGUUCAAAGCAGGCCUUUGCUCGAAUACGUUAGCAUGGAAUAAUAGAAUAGGACGUGCGGUCCUAUUUUGUUGGUUUCUAGGACCGCCGUAAUGAUUAAUAGGGAUAGUCGGGGGCAUCAGUAUUCAAUUGUCAGAGGUGAAAUUCUUGGAUUUAUUGAAGACUAACUACUGCGAAAGCAUUUGCCAAGGAUGUUUUCAUUAAUCAGUGAACGAAAGUUAGGGGAUCGAAGACGAUCAGAUACCGUCGUAGUCUUAACCGUAAACUAUGCCGACUAGGGAUCGGGCGAUGUUAUUAUUUUGACUCGCUCGGCACCUUACGAGAAAUCAAAGUUUUGGGUC